UGCAGGAGUCGUACGCUCAUCCAUUUGACCAGGUUUACUACACCCGCUGCACCGACAUCCUCAACUGGUUCAAAUGUACCAGACACAGGAUCAGCUAUAAGACGGCGUACAGACGUGGCGUGAGGACGAUGUACCGGCGUCGCUCUCAGUGCUGCCCGGGCUUCUAUGAGAGUGGAAACCUGUGUGUCCCGUUGUGUACUGAAGAGUGCGCUCACGGCCGCUGUGUGUCUCCUGAUACCUGUCAGUGUGAGCCCGGCUGGGGGGGACUCGACUG